CCCUGUGUGGUGCAAAUGGUUAGCGCAUUUGGCUGCUAACUUAAAGGUUGGAGGUUCGAGUCCAUCCAGAGGCG
rnacentral:tRNA from 1 species